rnacentral:rRNA from 1 species
CAGAUCUAGCUUGCUAGAUGCUGACGAGUGGCGCACGGGUGCGUAACGCGUAUACAAUCUACCUUUAACUGAGGGAUAGCCCAGAGAAAUUUGGAUUAAUACCUCAUAGUAUUAUAAUUAGGCAUCUUUUUAUAAUUAAAACUUCGGUGGUUAAAGAUGAGUAUGCGUACUAUUAGCUAGUUGGUAAGGUAAAAGCUUACCAAGGCAACGAUAGUUAGGGGGCCUGAAAGGGUGAUCCCCCACACUGGUACUGAGACACGGACCAGACUCCUACGGGAGGCAGCAGUGAGGAAUAUUGCACAAUGGAGGAAACUCUGAUGCAGCCAUGCCGCGUGCAG